rnacentral:rRNA from 1 species
GAUGAACGCUGGCGGUGUGCUUAACACAUGCAAGUCGAGCGACAAACCAGAGCUUUUGCUCUGGCAGAGCCGCGAACGGGUGAGUAAGACGUGUGUAACAUACCCCGCUUACCGGGACAACCCGAGGAAACUCGGGUUAAUACCGGCGCUUCUCGCCUCCCAUCCGGGGGGGGAGUACAUGAAGCUUCGUCCUCCGAAUCGUGAGCGGCCCGGGUCGUAUUAGUUUGUUGGUGGGGUAACGGCCUACCAAGGCUGCGAUACGUAGCUGGUCUGAGAGGACGAUCAGCCACACUGGAACUGAGACACGGUCCAGACUCCUACGGGAGGCAGCAGUGGGGAAUAUUGCGCAAUGGGCGAAAGCGUGACGCAGCAACGCCGCGUGGGGGAAGAAGGCCUUCGGGUUGUAAACCCCUUUCAGGGGGGACGAAGGCGGGCCGGUGAAUAGCCGUGCCGGUUGACGGUACCCGCACAAGAAGCCCCGGCUAACUCCGUG